ensembl:lncRNA
CUUUCAUAAAUGUCACCAAUGCACAGCCUCCUCCCUCCAACUCCUCCAUAGACUCUAAUGUUAAAAUGGCUCAGAAGGUUCGUUUGAAACCAGAAGUACAGGCUGUCUUUACACUGUCACCACGUCCAUAUAAUAAACUCCACAAGCAUGAAAACUGAGAAUUAGGUAGACUGGACAUUGCUGUCGCUCACGGUGAAAGAAUUUUGUCAAUAGGACCUGUACUUUUCAUUUGGGAGCGAUUUGUUUCGACCUGACUUUUCUGUUCAUUUUAAGCAGCAAAAGUGAGGUGCAUGUCUGUGCGUGUGUGUAUGGAGCCAGUGGGUGCAGUCACUAUAGCAACCAGGCUCACACCUGCCUGCCUAAUGAGCUCUCUCUCACUCUGCCAAUAUUCAUCUUAAACACUUCUCUUUCAACUACUGCUGUGUCCACAGUGUUUGCUCUACAGCCAUCAUUUACCCUCAAAACGUCGCCAUCGUUGUUCUCUUUCCAACACGUGUCUUUCAAAGUCAGACAUUUAAAAUUUUUAAACUGUGUGGAUCCAAGUGGAGGGAUCACAUUUUAGUCAUUCAGUGAUUCAAAGAAUAUGAACUUUUAAUAUUCAUUCAGAUGUUUUCUGACUCUAAAUUUUCUUUUCUCAUUUCUAAGGUUUUUCUAAUUUACAUUUAAAACAUUUUCAGCCAUUUUCCAACUUCUUCUCUGUGCUUGUCAGCUUUUAGCAGUUCAGCACUUUUGUUUUCAGGUGCAAAUUUCUGUAUUUUCAUCUCAUUCAACAUUUUUAACUUAAAAUUCAGCAAUUAAUUCUUUCAGUGCAUAUAUUCAGAUUCAAGCAUUCACACUGCAGUUUCUUCAGAAAAUGCACUUUCUAGUUAGUGUGAAUGCUUGUAAAAGCAUUCACAGUAUUGUUGUUGUAAUCUUUAUUAUUAGUGUGAAUGCUUGUAAAAGCAUUCACAGUAUAGUUGUUGUAAUCUUUAUUAUUAUUAUUAUAUAUUCCGUACGUUUUUUGGCAUCUAUCUCCUUCAAAACCGUUCAACUUAGAAAAACCAUUCAAACACCGUUAGAUUCCUCUUCUUUUGGACAUGACUGCUUCUAUUUUCUCAUUUAUAACAUUUAUAUUUUUAAAUUAUUCAACUUUUUCAACAAAAAUUUCCCAUGUAUUUCAAUGGGGAGACCCUUCAAAUCCUCAUUCAACUUACUCAUUUUCAAACUGUAUCUACUUCACAUACGUUGACAUAGAGCCACCAUUCAAACUUUAAAACGAAGACAAGACAUUCAACUAUUCAACUUGUAUUUAUCUUUUCAAUAUCUAUUAUACUUUUUCUUCAGUUCCAGUUUAAGUUUCAUGAUGUUUUUCAGCCGUUUCAGAGUUUAUAAUGGGUGUGUAUGGGACGGAAUGUUGGGGCUAGAGUGAGACAGCUCAACUGCUAGAGUGAGAGGAGCGAAAAAAUUAAUCUAAAAUCUUUUUUAAAACUGCUGCUGUGUCCGCAGCGUUUGCUCUACAGGUAUGAUUUUACCCUCAAAACGUAGCCAUCGCUGUCCUCUUUCAUCCAAUGUGUUUACUAUUGUACUAGGUGUUAUGGUUCUUUCAUAAAUGUCACCAAAGCACAGCCUCC